UAACGCGUGGGUAACCUGCCNCNUACAGGGGGAUAACAGUUAGAAAUGACUGCUAAUACCGCAUAAGACCGCAGAGCCGCAUGGCUCAGUGGGAAAAACUCCGGUGGUAUGAGAUGGACCCGCGUCUGAUUAGGUAGUUGGUGGGGUAACGGCCUACCAAGCCAACGAUCAGUAGCCGACCUGAGAGGGUGACCGGCCACAUUGGGACUGAGACACGGCCCAAACUCCUACGGGAGGCAGCAGUGGGGAAUAUUGCACAAUGGGGGAAACCCUGAUGCAGCGACGCCGCGUGAGCGAAGAAGUAUUUCGGUAUGUAAAGCUCUAUCAGNNGGGAAGAAAAUGACGGUACCUGACUAAGAAGCACCGGCUAAAUACGUGCCAGCAGCCGCGGUAAUACGUAUGGUGCAAGCGUUAUCCGGAUUUACUGGGUGUAGAGGGAGCGUAGACGGCUGUGUAAGUCUGAAGUGAAAGCCCGGGGCUCAACCCCGGGACUGCUUUGGAAACUAUGCAGCUAGAGUGUCGGAGAGGUAAGUGGAAUUCCCAGUGUAGCGGUGAAACGCGUAGAUAUUGGGAGGAACACCAGUGGCGAAGGCGGCUUACUGGACGAUGACUGACGUUGAGGCUCGAAAGCGUGGGGAGCAAACAGGAUUAGAUACCCUGGUAGUCCACGCCGUAAACGAUGACUACUAGGUGU
rnacentral:rRNA from 1 species